GUGAACCAGUCUGCACCUAUUGGGCCUUUAAUCUGCAGGCUGCGCUUGUUUCGCAGGUUAAUCGUCUUCAAUGACGUCACGAGGCGGAUCAGGCUGGCAGUGCCCGGUUUUUGCAAAACAUAGUCUGUUUAACUUGACUGGGAAGUGCAACUAUACUGUUUAUAUAGAUUCACACUAUAAUUUUCAUCUUUACUUUAGCUGAAAUAAAAUCGUCUUCGAAAAAGGUGAAACACGCCUCGACGGCAAAAGCAAUUGAUGCUUUUGUUGCCGUGGUAACAGUCAGUAUAUUGUCCAUGGACAAUCGCAAUGCUUCUUGGGAGAUUUUACAAAGGCAAGAGGAAAAUCAGUUUGGAUGAACAAACAGAUGAGGAUGGUCAUGCUUUGAGGCCUGUAAGUACCUUUCUUAUAAUAUCAUUUAUUUCACAGAAGUUAUGCAUUAGUUGAUGUCUUGAGGGCACACAAAACAUUAAUAAUAUUUAUAAUAAUUAAAAUUUAUAUUGCGCAUAUUCUAUAAAAUAUUCAUAUGCACAUAACAUUGAACUCUAAUGUGACAAAGCACCAUACAAACAUUCUGGUUAAAAUUCCCUGCUUAACCUAGAAAUAGCCCUAUUUGGAUUAAUUAACUUAAUAUUCCUGGUUAACUUAACAGUCUAUACACAACUUCUAUACUCAACUAGACUACAUGCAAUCGAGAGGGAUAACGAACUAUUAUUAUUAAAUUCGUUACAGACGUUUAUAUGUAUGAUACUGAUAUACACAACAUGUUACCAGACAACGUUCGUGAUUGGGAUGAAGAAACAGUAUCUUUGUACCAAUUACCAUGUGUUAUUAAAAAAAACAUCACGUUUUAUCUACUUUCCACUCGUGAAGAAACAAAAGUGUGUCCUUUAACUACCAGUUGUCCACGUUAAACAGUCUCAAUUGUCUGUACCACAAUAUCUCGCAUUACAUUGCGAAGGAGGGCCGAGUUUGUAGACAUAAUACAAUCCACAAUUAAUAACCUCGAUGUCAUUCGCCCAGUUACAACAACGGCUACCACCGUGGCUGAAACACACUUUACGCUUCACCUUUCCAUCAGCGAUUGUGGGAUGCGCACCUUUCAUCCAACCAGUUAAAUGACCUUGACAUGUAUUUAAGGGUGUACAGCUGGUAGGUAGUUUGGUUCCAGCACCACCCCCAAACCUGUACCAUCCAGAAAGGCCUUUGUCACAAAGAUAGGUAGUUGUGACAUGUUUCACGUUUCUGCUGCUUUCUCUUAACCACUUGUAUUCAAAACAUUCUUUAUACGGUCGAAAGACUAAUAAUAAAAUGAUUUAAAUGUUGAAAUUGCUACACAGCCGCCAGUUCAGCUAAGGUACCCCAGAAGAUAAAAAUUAAUUCGGAG